rnacentral:rRNA from 1 species
CCUACGGGUGGCUGCAGUGGGGAAUAUUGGACAAUGGGCGAAAGCCUGAUCCAGCCAUGCCGCGUGUGUGAAGAAGGCCUUCGGGUUGUAAAGCACUUUCAGUGGGGAAGAAAGCCUUGGGGCUAAUACCCUCGAGGAAGGACAUCACCCACAGAAGAAGCACCGGCUAACUCCGUGCCAGCAGCCGCGGUAAUACGGAGGGUGCGAGCGUUAAUCGGAAUUACUGGGCGUAAAGCGCGCGUAGGCGGUCUGAUAAGCCGGUUGUGAAAGCCCCGGGCUCAACCUGGGAACGGCAUCCGGAACUGUCAGGCUAGAGUGCAGGAGAGGAAGGUAGAAUUCCCGGUGUAGCAGUGAAAUGCGUAGAGAUCGGGAGGAAUACCAGUGGCGAAGGCGGCCUUCUGGACUGACACUGACGCUGAGGUGCGAAAGCGUGGGUAGCAAACGGGAUUAGAUACCCGAGUAGUC